rnacentral:rRNA from 1 species
AUUGAACGCUGGCGGCAGGCCUAACACAUGCAAGUCGAGCGAGAGGCGGACGGGUGAGCAAUGUCUGGGAACCUGCCUGACGGAGGGGGAUAACUACUGGAAAAGGUAGCUAAUACCGCAUACCAUCAGAUCGGCCCACAGUGGAUUAGCUAGUCGGUGGGGUAAUGGCUCACCUAGGCGAAGAUCCCUAGCCGGUCUGAGAGGACGAACAGCCACACUGUAACUGAGACACGGUCCAGACUCCUACGGGAGGCAGCAGUGGGGAAUAUUGGACAAUGGGCGAAAGCCUGAUGCAGCCAUGCCGCGUGUGUGAAGAAGGCCUUCGGGUUGUAAAGCACUUUUAGCGAGGAGGCGUUACUCACAGAAGAAGCACCGGCUAACUCCGUGUCAGCAGCCGCGGUAAUAC